UACAGAGGGUGCGAGCGUUAAUCGGAAUUACUGGGCGUAAAGCGCGCGUAGGCGGCUUUUCAAGUCGAUUGUGAAAUCCCCGGGCUUAACCUGGGAACUGCAGUCGAGACUGUCUAGCUAGAGUAUGGGAGAGGGAAGUGGAAUUUCAGGUGUAGCGGUGAAAUGCGUAGAUAUCGGGAGGAACACCAGUGGCGAAGGCGACUACCUGGCCUGUUCUUGACGCUGAGGCGCGAAAGCUAGGGGAGCAAACGGG
rnacentral:rRNA from 1 species